AGAGGAGGCGGCGAGUUGUAGCCUCGUAGACGGGAAGAAAUCCCGCAGGACCAAGCC
rnacentral:tRNA from 1 species